AACCUAAAGAAUUUGGCGGUUUCUAAACUUACUAGAGGAACCUGUGCCGUAAACGACAACCCACGAAAAAAUCAACCCAAACUUGUUAUCCAGCUUAUAUACCGUCGUUUAGGGGAUUAAACAAAUAGAUCUCCUUAAGAGCUUAGGCUAAUAAAUCAGAUCAAGGUGUAGCUUAUGUUUGGGUGAGGAUGGGUUACAAUGAAAAUUCAUACGGAACCUUUAUAUUACUGUAAAGGAGAAGGUGGAUUUAGAAGUAAGACUUAAUACACUGAAGAAAGCCCUGAGAAAUGUACACAUCGCCCGUCGCUCUCUUGUCCGAAGAGAUAAGUCGUAACAAAGUAGGUGUAUCGGAAGGUUCAUCUUGAAAGA
rnacentral:rRNA from 1 species